GCACUACUGAGGAGUCCCACAACGGAACGAAACGGCCGUCCAGUGC
rfam:Schistosoma rodhaini strain Burundi genome assembly, scaffold: SROB_scaffold0006740